AAAGAGGGCGUGGUCCUCCAGGUGGCCAUGAGCUCCCGACAAGCUAUGGUUCCACCUGGUCCCAGCUUUCAAGCAUAAUCUUGAUGACAGCGAAAUUCCUCACAAAGCAGGUACUGGAUUCACCAAAACUUUCGAGGUGGGGAAGGAAAACCUGUCCGGGAAUGAGGAAAAUAGGGGCAGCUGACGUGCUCCAUUUAAGGAAGAGAGAAAAACUUGGGAGGAGGAAGCGCAAUGAAAAGGGAACUGGGAGAGAAACCCCAGGGAGUCACCAAGCGCCACUGCACACUGCCCAAAACUUGGAGCUGUCUCCCGCGGGCCUCGCCAGCGUACGCUGCCUGGGCGCUGGACAGCUCGCUGCUGUGGGGCGGCGCCCUGAGCACUGCAGGAAGUGCAGCAGCAGCCCUGGUCUCUACUCACCUAGAUACCAGGGGCACCUGUGACAACCAACCAUGUUGUGACAACCAGAAAUGUCCCCUGAGCAAUAAAAUCGACCUCCACUGAGAACUACCACGCAC
ensembl:lncRNA